UGUGUCUACACUGGCAAAUGUCUACACUCUCAGCAUCAUUCAAUUUCAUGAGCAAAGCCCGAGUCUAUCUCAGCUCUGAAGGACCACCUGCAUUCCUUGCCACAUGACGCCCUCCAUCUUAACACAAGCAGAAAGGCUUUGAAUGGUUCUCUGCAUUGAAUCUCUGACUUCCUCCUCUGUGACCAGCUGGGAAAAACCUCUAAAGGGCUCUUGGGAUUAGCUCAGAACCACCUAAAUAAUCUAUUUUAAGGUGAGCUAUGCCAUAAAACACCACCUAUUCAUGGGAG
rnacentral:lncRNA from 1 species